rnacentral:rRNA from 1 species
UUCCGGUUCAUCCCGCCGGACCUGACUGCUAUCGGAUUGAUACUAAGCCAUGCGAGUCUUUGUAGUAAUACAAGGCAGACGGCUCAGUAACACGUAGUCAACCUACCCUAUGGACGAGAAUAAUCUCGGGAAACUGAGCAUAAUUCUCGAUAGAUCAUAAUGCCUGGAAUGGUUUAUGGUUAAAAUGAUUCGUCGCCAUAGGAUGGGACUGCGGCCUAUCAGCUUGUUGGUGAGGUAAUGGCCCACCAAGGCGAUUACAGGUACGGGCUCUGAGAGGAGAAGCCCGGAGAUGGGUACUGAGACACGGACCCAGGCCCUAUGGGGCGCAGCAGGCGAGAAAACUUUGCAAUGUGCGAAAGCACGACAAGGUUAAUCCGAGUGAUUUCUGCUAAAGAAAUCUUUUGCCAGUCAUAAAACCACUGGUGAAUAAGGGGUGGGCAAGUUCUGGUGUCAGCCGCCGCGGUAAAACCAGCACCUCAAGUGGUCAGGAUGAUUAUUGGGCCUAAAGCAUCCGUAGCCGGCUUUGUUAGUUUUCGGUUAAAUCCAUGUGCUCAACGCAUGGGCUGCCGAAAAUACUGCAUAGCUAGGGAGUGGGAGAGGUAGACGGUACUCAGUAGGAAGGGGUAAAAUCCUUUGAUCUAUUGAUGACCACCUGUGGCGAAGGCGGUCUACCAGAACACGUUCGACGGUGAGGGAUGAAAGCUGGGGGAGCAAACCGGAUUAGAUACCCGGGUAGUCCCAGCUGUAAACGAUGCAGACUCGAUGAUGCAUUGGCAUAAUAGCCAGUGCAGUGUCGC